AGCCAUAUUAGGUGAACCGCGAAAGGCUCAUUAUAUCAGUUAUGGUUCCUUAGAUCGUACAUAUAUUUACUUGGAUAACUGUGGUAAUUCUAGAGCUAAUACAUGCAAACAGAGUUCCGACCAGAGAUGGAAGGAAUGCUUUUAUUAGAUCAAAACCAAUCGAUGUUUAUAUAAUUAUUAUAAUAUUUUAUAUUUUAUGUUUUUUUAUAAUUUCAUAUUAAUAAAUUUAUUUAUAUUUAUGUGCAUCGUAAUAAUUUGGUGACUCUGAAUAACUUUUAGCUGAUCGCACGGUCUUAAUAGUACCGGCGACGCAUCUUUCAAAUGUCUGCCUUAUCAACUGUCGAUGGUAGGUUCUGCGCCUACCAUGGUUGUAACGGGUAACGGGGAAUCAGGGUUCGAUUCCGGAGAGGGAGCCUGAGAAACGGCUACCACAUCCAAGGAAGGCAGCAGGCGCGCAAAUUACCCACUCCCGGCACGGGGAGGUAGUGACGAAAAAUAACGAUACGGGACUCAUCCGAGGCCCCGUAAUCGGAAUGAGUACACUUUAAAUCCUUUAACGAGGAUCCAUUGGAGGGCAAGUCUGGUGCCAGCAGCCGCGGUAAUUCCAGCUCCAAUAGCGUAUAUUAAAGUUGUUGCGGUUAAAAAGCUCGUAGUCGAAUUUGUGUCCUACACUGUCGGUUCACCGCUCGCGGUGUUUAACUGGCAUGUUUUGUGGGACGUCCUACCGGUGGUGAGGUAUGAAUUAUAUUAUGUAUAAUAUGGUUAUAAAAACUUGUAUUUUUAUUUAAAUUUUUAUUUAUGAUAAGUUAUUAUUUUGUUGAUUUUUAUUUAAUAUUCAUAAAUUUUUUUUUAUUAAAAAAUAAUAAUAUAUACACGGGGGGGGGGAGAAGAUUUGGGAGAAAUUUUGAUUUUCAAUCAAUAAUUGAAAAUC
rnacentral:rRNA from 1 species